UACGUAGGGUGCGAGCGUUUGUCCGGAAUUAUUGGGCGUAAAGGGCUCGUAGGCGGUUUGUCGCGUCGGGAGUGAAAACACCGGGCUUAACUCGGUGCUUGCUUUCGAUACGGGCAGACUAGAGGUAUGCAGGGGAGAACGGAAUUCCUGGUGUAGCGGUGAAAUGCGCAGAUAUCAGGAGGAACACCGGUGGCGAAGGCGGUUCUCUGGGCCGUAACUGACGCUGAGGAGCGAAAGCGUGGGGAGCGAACAGG
rnacentral:rRNA from 1 species